AUUGAACGCUGGCGGCAUGCUUUACACAUGCAAGUCGAGCGGCAGCGCGGGGGCAACCCUGGCGGCGAGCGGCGAACGGGUGAGUAAUGCAUCGGAACGUAUCCUCGAGUGGGGGAUAACCCAGCGAAAGUUGGGCUAAUACCGCAUGAGCUCUGAGGAGGAAAGCGGGGGACCUGCGAGGGCCUCGCGCUGGAGGAGCGGCCGAUGUCCGAUUAGCUAGUUGGUGGGGUAAAGGCUUACCAAGGCGACGAUCGGUAGCUGGUCUGAGAGGAUGAUCAGCCACACUGGGACUGAGACACGGCCCAGACUCCUACGGGAGGCAGCAGUGGGGAAUUUUGGACAAUGGGGGCAACCCUGAUCCAGCCAUGCCGCGUGAGUGAAGAAGGCCUUCGGGUUGUAAAGCUCUUUCGGACGGAACGAAAUGGGCGGGACUAAUACUCCUGUCUGAUGACGGUGCCGUAAGAAGAAGCACCGGCUAACUACGUG
rnacentral:rRNA from 1 species